rnacentral:rRNA from 1 species
AACGAACGCUGGCGGCGUGCCUAACACAUGCAAGUCGAGCGCGAAAAGGGCAACCUGAGUAGAGCGGCGCACGGGUGCGUAACACGUGGGUAAUCUGCCUUAGAGUCGAGGAUAACCUUCCGAAAGGUUGGCUAAUACUCGGUAAGCUUACGGUGUCUUCGGACGCUGUGGGAAAAGUAGGCCUCUGUUUACAAGCUUACGCUCUGAGAUGAGCCCGCGGCCCAUCAGCUAGUUGGCGGUGUAACGGACCACCAAGGCGACGACGGGUAGCUGGUCUGAGAGGACGAUCAGCCACACUGGAAUUGAGACACGGUCCAGACUCCUACGGGAGGCAGCAGUGGGGAAUUUUCCACAAUGGGCGAAAGCCUGAUGGAGCAACGCCGCGUGUGUGAUGAAGGUUUUCGGAUCGUAAAGCACUUUCGACUGGGACGAAAAACCUUUGGCUAACAUCCAGGGGCCUGACGGUACCAGGAGAAGAAGCACCGGCUAACUCUGUGCCAGCCGCCGCGGUAACAC